ACUCCAGCGGGAGGCAGCAGUGGGGAAUUUUGGACAAUGGGCGAAAGCCUGAUCCAGCCAUGCCGCGUGCAGGAUGAAGGCCUUCGGGUUGUAAACUGCUUUUGUACGGAACGAAACGGCCUUUUCUAAUAAAGAGGGCUAAUGACGGUACCGUAAGAAUAAGCACCGGCUAACUACGUGCCAGCAGCCGCGGUAAUACGUAGGGUGCAAGCGUUAAUCGGAAUUACUGGGCGUAAAGCGUGCGCAGGCGGUUAUGUAAGACAGUUGUGAAAUCCCCGGGCUCAACCUGGGAACUGCAUCUGUGACUGCAUAGCUAGAGUACGGUAGAGGGGGAUGGAAUUCCGCGUGUAGCAGUGAAAUGCGUAGAUAUGCGGAGGAACACCGAUGGCGAAGGCAAUCCCCUGGACCUGUACUGACGCUCAUGCACGAAAGCGUGGGGAGCAAACAGGAUUAGAAACCCUAGUAGUCCCA
rnacentral:rRNA from 1 species